rnacentral:rRNA from 1 species
GAUGAACGCUGGCGGCGUGCCUAAUACAUGCAAGUCGAGCGAACAGAUAAGGAGCUUGCUCCUUUGACGUUAGCGGCGGACGGGUGAGUAACACGUGGGUAACCUAUCUAUAAGACUGGAAUAACUCCGGGAAACCGGGGCUAAUGCCGGAUAACAUGUUGAACCGCAUGGUUCUACAGUGAAAGGCGGCUUUGCUGUCACUUAUAGAUGGACCCGCGCCGUUUUAGCUAGUUGGUGAGGUAACGGCUCACCAAGGCAACGAUACGUAGCCGACCUGAGAGGGGGAUCGGCCACACUGGAACUGAGACACGGCCCAGACUCCUACGGGAGGCAGCAGUAGGGAAUCUUCCGAGAUGGGCGAAAGCCUGACGGAGCAACGCCGCGUGAGUGAUGAAGGUCUUCGGAUCGUAAAACUCUGUUAUUAGGGAAGAACAAAUGCGUAAGUAACGGUGCGCGUCUUGACGGUACCUAAUCAGAAAGCCACGGCUAACUACGUG